AACGCGAAGAACCUUACCUACCCUUGACAUCCUAAGAAUCUUAUAGAGAUAUGAGAGUGCCGAAAGGAACUUAGAGACAGGUGCUGCAUGGCUGUCGUCAGCUCGUGUUGUGAGAUGUUGGGUUAAGUCCCGUAACGAGCGCAACCCUUAUCCUUAGUUACCAACACGUAAUGGUGGGGACUCUAAGGAGACUGCUGGUGAUGAACCGGAGGAAGGCGGGGACGACGUCAAGUCAUCAUGGCCUUUAUGGGUAGGGCCACACACGUGCUACAAUGGUCGGUACAGAGGGUAGCCAACCCGCGAGGGGGAGCCAAUCUCAGAAAGCCGAUCGUAGUCCGGAUUGGAGUCUGCAACUCGACUCCAUGAAGUUGGAAUCGCUAGUAAUCGCGAAUCAGAAUGUCGCGGUGAAUACGUUCCCGGGCCUUGUACACACCGCGUGUCU
rnacentral:rRNA from 1 species